CCCAUGUCUGCCCCCCCCCCAAGCCACGUGUCAACUCAUGCCCCAACCCAAGCCCCACCAUACCCCACCGUCUUAGCUGCAUCACCUUGCAGUACACCUGUGCUUGCCAACCUACUUGAAUAUGUUGCAGCAUCCAAGGAUUCGUUAAUAGGCGGCAGCUUACUAUUGACUGGCUAUGUUGCUCCUCUGCUCUGCUUCUUUUGUUGGAGCGUUGGAGUUUAUAUUAGCUAAAAAGGGUGCGUUAGGGACGGUAUGGAUCGCGACGCAUCUGGAUAGCUGCAUAAUUGGUGGCCAUUCAAUGCUAGAAGAUGCUAACAUUAAGGAUAUGAAGGAUGUGGAAUGUUUAAUCCGUCCCCCAGUCAAAGAUAACAACAGUCCACCAACCCAGAAAUCAAAUUGAUGUGCUGUCUGUUGAGACUAAAGCUCUUCUUUACCCGCUCAAUGGUUUGCCCAAGAUGAAGAGUUAGUUUCGUCUGCAAAUGUUGAUUAUUAAAGGGCAUAGUAUUAAUGUCGUGGAUGAUUUAUUGGUUGCAGAUCAUUCGAUUCUAAACGAGCGUAUCAAGAAGCGUAACACCGCUUUUCAUAUAACCGAUAGGAAAUGCCGAUAAGAGGCUGAUAAAGUAAAAGGGGAAAGCUAAUCAUCUCUAAAGUGCAAUUCAUAUGUAGUAAGACAAGAUGCGCAACACUAGAGUCGGAAUAGGGAGCGGCAUAAGAGACUAUAUUAGCUGGUGGCCAUACAACUAGCUACAAACGGUUGUUGAAAGUGCAACUACAUUGAAGGUGCAUCUGCAAAUUGGGCAAUUGCGUUUGGAAUUGUACUCUCAUCAUAAAAUAAUUCACUAAUUGGUUCAUAAUCUUAGUUGGAAUAUACUUUUUUUACAUUUAUAAGUAACUUUUCUAUUUAUAUGAAUAACACAUGAUGUGUUGGUCU